rfam:Apis mellifera strain DH4 unplaced genomic scaffold GroupTn5270, whole genome shotgun sequence.
GCCAACGACCAUACCACGUAGGAACUACUGGUUCUCGUUCGAUCACCAAAGUCAAGCUACGUCGGGCACGGUUAGUACUUAGAUGGGUGCCGCUUGGGAACACCGUGUGUUGUUGGUU